rnacentral:rRNA from 1 species
UACGAAGGGGGGCUAGCGUUGCUCGGAAUUACUGGGCGUAAAGCGCACGUAGGCGGUUCGUUAAGUCGGAUGUGAAAGCCCUCGGCUCAACUGAGGAAGUGCACCCGAAACUGGCGAGCUUGAGUACGAAAGAGGAUCGCGGAAUUCCCGGUGUAGAGGUGAAAUUCGUAGAUAUCGGGGAGGAACACCGGUGGCGAAGGCGGCGAUCUGGGUCGAUACUGACGCUGAGGUGCGAAAGCGUGGGGAGCAAACAGG